UUUCCGUAGGUGAACCUGCGGAAGGAUCAUUAUUGAGCCCUGCCCUCACGGGUAGACCUCCAACCCUGUGUAUUUAUACCUUUGUUGCUUCGGCAGGCCGUCUAGGUUUCGGCCUAGCUAUGGGCUUCGGCUCGUAAGCGCCUGCCAGAGGACCAAACUCUGAAUAUUAGUGAUGUCUGAGUACUAUAUAAUAGUUAAAACUUUCAACAACGGAUCUCUUGGUUCUGGCAUCGAUGAAGAACGCAGC
rnacentral:misc_RNA from 1 species